rnacentral:rRNA from 1 species
AUUGAACGCUGGCGGAAUGCUUUACACAUGCAAGUCGAACGGCAGCACGGGUGCUUGCACCUGGUGGCGAGUGGCGAACGGGUGAGUAAUACAUCGGAACGUACCCAGUCGUGGGGGAUAACGUAGCGAAAGUUACGCUAAUACCGCAUACGUCCUGAGGGAGAAAGCGGGGGACCGUAAGGCCUCGCGCGAUGGGAGCGGCCGAUGGCGGAUUAGCUAGUUGGUGGGGUAAAGGCCUACCAAGGCGACGAUCCGUAGCGGGUCUGAGAGGACGGCCCGCCACACUGGAACUGAGACACGGUCCAGACUCCUACGGGAGGCAGCAGUGGGGAAUUUUGGACAAUGGGCGAAAGCCUGAUCCAGCCAUGCCGCGUGUGUGAAGAAGGUCUUCGGAUUGUAAAGCACUUUAAGUUGGGAGGAAGGGUAUUCACCUAAUACGUGGGUACUUUGACGUUACCAACAGAAUAAGCACCGGCUAACUCUGUGCCAGCCGCCGCAGUAA